rnacentral:rRNA from 1 species
AGUGAACGCUGGCGGUAGGCCUAACACAUGCAAGUCGAACGGCAGCACAGUAAGAGCUUGCUCUUACGGGUGGCGAGUGGCGGACGGGUGAGGAAUACAUCGGAAUCUACUUUUUCGUGGGGGAUAACGUAGGGAAACUUACGCUAAUACCGCAUACGACCUACGGGUGAAAGCAGGGGAUCUUCUGACCUUGCGCGAUUGAAUGAGCCGAUGUCGGAUUAGCUAGUUGGCGGGGUAAAGGCCCACCAAGGCGACGAUCCGUAGCUGGUCUGAGAGGAUGAUCAGCCACACUGGAACUGAGACACGGUCCAGACUCCUACGGGAGGCAGCAGUGGGGAAUAUUGGACAAUGGGCGCAAGCCUGAUCCAGCCAUACCGCGUGGGUGAAGAAGGCCUUCGGGUUGUAAAGCCCUUUUGUUGGGAAAGAAAAGCAGCAGGUUAAUACCCCGCUGCUCUGACGGUACCCAAAGAAUAAGCACCGGCUAACUUCGUG